GGUGUGGUGGCGGAAUUGGUAGACGCGCACAGGUUGAAACAGCGUUAAAAGAUUGUUAGCUCCCUGGUGGUUUCGGCCAUGUGGGUUCGAGUCCCCCUCACGCGC